AAAUACCAAUAGAAGGCAGAAUCAGAGUUACGUGAUAUACAU
rnacentral:guide_RNA from 1 species